AGGAGUAACAAAAACUAAAAGAAAAAUAAUUGAAUGAUGAAAGAUAUCUACCUGUGGCUAUCACAGAAAGAAUAAAACAGAUGCCUAAAGGCUGGAGAAACAGUGACAUGGAGCCUGGAGUAGCAGCUACCAGCUUAUAUCACAAAUGGAGAAAGAUAAAAUGAGCAGGUAUCACUGGAAAACGGAGGAGCAAAAUGGAUGAGCUGCAGAACAGUAAUGGGAAUUCAGUUCCAGUGGUUCUGAAGUGUAUGGCUUGGUGAUAAUGAAACCUUCAGUAAAUGGCAGAAGCAAGAUGCAUACCUCCAGGUAAAAAGCCAGUAGCUGGAGGAGUGUUGCGGAUCCCAGAGAUACCAGUUCAGCAGUGCCAGGGGAUAGAAGAGCUAAUGAAGAGGGAGCAAAAGAGAAGUGGAGGACUUCUUCCCCUCGGGACACUGAAACCUUCCACCUCAGCCUUUCUCCCACGGCCAUGGUACCUGCCACCCUCAGACCACACAGCAUCUUCUAACAUGUGACCACGAGAUAACAUUUAAUAACUACAAAGCAUGGAACAUGUGACAGAUAACA